GAUGAAGAACGUAGCGAAACGCGAUAAGUAAUGUGAAUUGCAGAAUUCAGUGAAUCAUCGAAUCUUUGAACGCACAUUGCGCCCGCCAGUAUUCUGGCGGGCAUGCCUGUUCGAGCGUCAUUACAACCCUCAGGCCCCCGGGCCUGGCGUUGGGGAUCGGCGGAAGCCCCCUGUGGGCACACGCCGUCCCUCAAAUACAGUGGCGGUCCCGCCGCAGCUUCCAUUGCGUAGUAGCUAACACCUCGCAACUGGAGAGCGGCGCGGCCAUGCCGUAAAACACCCAACUUCUGAAUGUUGACCUCGAAUCAGGUAGGAAUACCCGCUGAACUUAAGCAUAUCAAUAAGCGGAGGA
rnacentral:misc_RNA from 1 species